rnacentral:rRNA from 1 species
AUUGAACGCUGGCGGCAGGCCUAACACAUGCAAGUCGAGCGGAUGAAGGGAGCUUGCUCCUGGAUUCAGCGGCGGACGGGUGAGUAAUGCCUAGGAAUCUGCCUGGUAGUGGGGGAUAACGUCCGGAAACGGGCGCUAAUACCGCAUACGUCCUGAGGGAGAAAGUGGGGGAUCUUCGGACCUCACGCUAUCAGAUGAGCCUAGGUCGGAUUAGCUAGUUGGUGGGGUAAAGGCCUACCAAGGCGACGAUCCAUAACUGGUCUGAGAGGAUGAUCAGUCACACUGGAACUGAGACACGGUCCAGACUCCUACGGGAGGCAGCAGUGGGGAAUAUUGGACAAUGGGCGAAAGCCUGAUCCAGCCAUGCCGCGUGUGUGAAGAAGGUCUUCGGAUUGUAAAGCACUUUAAGUUGGGAGGAAGGGCAGUAAGUUAAUACCUUGCUGUUUUGACGCUACCAACAGAAUAAGCACCGGCUAACUUCGUG